AUUGAACGCUGGCGGCAUGCUUUACACAUGCAAGUCGAACGGCAGCACGAAAGAGCUUGCUCUUUUGGUGGCGAGUGGCGAACGGGUGAGUAAUGCAUCGGAACGUACCGAGUAAUGGGGGAUAACUAUCCGAAAGGAUAGCUAAUACCGCAUACGCUUUGAGAAGGAAAGUGGGGGCUCUUCGGACCUCACGUUAUUCGAGCGGCCGAUGUCUGAUUAGCUAGUUGGUGGGGUAAAGGCCUACCAAGGCGACGAUCAGUAGCGGGUCUGAGAGGAUGAUCCGCCACACUGGGACUGAGACACGGCCCAGACUCCUACGGGAGGCAGCAGUGGGGAAUUUUGGACAAUGGGCGCAAGCCUGAUCCAGCCAUGCCGCGUGUCUGAAGAAGGCCUUCGGGUUGUAAAGGACUUUUGUUAGGG
rnacentral:rRNA from 1 species